AAAUUCGGACAAUGGGGGAAACCCUGAUCCAGCCAUCCCGCGCGUAUGAUGAAGGCCUUCGGGUUGACAAGUACAUUUGGCAGAGAAGAAAAGGUAUCCCCUAAUACGGGACACUUCUGACGGUAGCGGCAGAACAAGCACCGGCUAACUACGUCGCAGCAGCCGCUGUAAUACGUAGGGUGCAGGCGUUAAUCGGAAUUACUGGGCGUAAAGCGUGUGUAGGCGGUUCGGAAAGAAAGAUGUGAAAACCCAGGGCUCAACCUUGGAACUGCAUUUGUAACUGCCGAGCUAGAGUAUGUCAGAGGGGGGUAGAAUUCCACGUGUAGCAGUGAAAUGCGUAGAUAUGUGGAGGAAUACCGAUGGCGAAGGCAGCCCCCUGGGAUAAUACUGACGCUCGGACACGAAAGCGUGGGGAGCAAACAGG
rnacentral:rRNA from 1 species